rnacentral:lncRNA from 10 species
UUGCCUUUUCUUAGUUGUUUCUGUCUGUCUUGUAGCUCUUUAGUCCUUUUCUUUUCUUGCUCUCUUCCUUUGUAAUUUUGUUGACUGUUUGCAGCUGUUGGAGGCCGCACAAAUGUUUCUUAUAAUGAGGCAUAAUUGAAGCCUGUCAGUAACAAUAUGAACCUGUGGUCAAUUAAGCAGCUGACCAAUCGUUACCUCCUCCUUCUUGCUCUUGUUACCCAAUAAAUAAGAAGGGUUGUGGAAGCUCAGGGGCUGCCUUUCCUCACUAGAAGCAGGGAGCUCUCUUCUUCCCCAUGCUAGCCUUUCCUUAAAAUAGUUACUUUUGUUUUCUGUUAUGAUUUCUAUGUUCGUCCGUUCAUUCAGUCUUGUAAUGACAGUCUCAAGCAGUAACAGCAGUAACUGCUGUAAUGACGGUCUCAAGUAGUAGUAGUGGCAGUCGGCCACAUUUUAUAAUUUCUAUCUCUUUGCUGAUAUUCUCAUUUUGAUUAUGUAUCAUUUUCCUGAGCUCACUGAGCACCUUAAUGUCUGUCAUUUUAAAUUUUUUCACAGAUAAUCUAUAUACUUUCACUUCUUUAUGACCAGUUUCUAGAGUUUUAGUUUGGAAUGGACCACGUUUUAUUGUUUUACCAUGCGUCUUGUAACUUUUUGUUGAAAUUCAUUCAUUUGAAAAACAACCACUUCUCCCCAUCUUUGAAGAUAGACAUCAUACAGGGAGAAGACAGAAACUGGAAGUUCCUUCUCAAUUGGACUUUACUGAGCUAGCAGGAAACAAUAUGAUUGAAAAUGAAAAUAUCUUUUGCUUCACUUCUUAUACGACAGAGAAAGCGUAAUCCGGAACAAAGCCAUACCUGUCUCCUGCCUCCUGACCUGCCUCACACUCCUCUACCUGAAUGCACUUGUGAACUUCAGAAUUUUGAAGCUCUGUCUCCUGACAUCACAGAUAGACAAGCACUGAACUUGGCAGGAAAAUCAGUAGGAGUAAGUGGCGGAGGCAUGGGACUGGCAGAGAUACGGCAGCCCCUGUGGAGAGGCUGUCUACAGAUAACAUAACAAUAACAACAGGAUCUGCGGGGUUCCUGCAUGCGUGUUGGCUUCACUGGAGAAACUAAUCAAGUGGUGCAGUUUGGACACAGAGACUGACACACAGGAAGAAUACCAUGUGAAGACUGGAGUUUUGCAUAGAGAAGCCAAGGAGCUACCAGAAGCUAGGAGAAUGGCCUGGAACAGACCUUUCCUUAGUGCCUUCAGAGAGAGCAUGGCGCUGCCAACAUCUUGAUCUCAGACUUCCAGCAUCCUGAAUUAGACUCACAUUGACAAUCUAAGGCUUGUAAAGAAGCACCAUAACAUUACAGAAACAGACAUGAGAUACGACGCUGUAGUGAAGAACCUCCAUAUUCCAUCAAUCCAGAUUGGAAGAAGACAAAGAACACAAGACCGAAACUGAAUCCUUGGGUAUGUUCUGGAAUAAACCUGGAUUCCUAGGGAGAAAAGAGAUCCCUGAAAUGAAAAUUGCCGUAAGGAGCCCUGAAAAAAUGGGAUAAUGCCUACCUACAUUGGUGAGAGUGAUGUUUACUCAGUCUACUGAAUCAAAUACCAAUCUCUUCUGGAAAUACUAUCAGAGACACACCAAGAAACAACAUUUUACCAGCGAUCGGAGCAUCCCUUAGCCCAGUCAAAUUGACCCAUUAAAUAAGCCCUCACACUCUGCUAUAAGGCAUCUGCACUACACAUAAAUUGAUAUUGUUAUAUGAAGGUACACCAGCAGUCAAGGUGCUGGCAUAUGACAUAGACCUCUUCAAUCACUUGCACCUUUUGGAGUUGGAAAUACAAAAACUAGUAAGUGUGAGGAAGCUGUUCUCCUGAGGUCUGCACCAGGGAAGACAGCUACAUCUACAUUCGGGUGGCAGCACUGGAAAUGGUUUGAGCAAUGCUCUCAGUGUGCAGAGCUGGUGGAAUCAGAGAUGCAUAUUGAAGCGUCUGUACUAAAUGACAGCUAUGGUCUGAAUGUAUCCCCCCAAAUUCAAGCAUUGAAAACUUAAUGCCCAAUGCAACAGUGUUGGGAGGUGGGGCCUAAAAAGAGGUGAAUACGUCAUGAGGGAUCUGCCCUCAUGAAUGAAUUUAUGUUUUUAUCUCAUGAGUGUAGUCAUCACAGCAGUGGGCUUUUUAUAAAAGCAAGUUCGGCUUCCUCUUGCUCUCUGGCUCUCUUAUCCUUUAGCCUUGUACCACGGAAUGAUGCAAAAAGAAGGAUCUCAUCAGAUUUGGGUGUCCCUAUGUUGAAAUUCUCAUGCUACACAACUGUAAGAAAUAAUUUUUUAAUAAAUUAACCAAUAUAUGGUAUUCUAUUAUAACAGAAUGAAAUGGACUAACACAAGGACAUUAUUAGCAAAGGAGCAUUGGUGCAUUUAUUAUGUGAUAUAACUAACUUUUGAUGUUACCCUUGGCUACAUAGCCUCUGAAGUUGAUUCCAGAGAUCCCCCAUAACUUGUGUAAGCUAUCAACAUUUUUAUCUGAAUUCCCUUUCUGUUUAAAUUAGCCAAAACAAAUAUCUGAUGCUUGCAAUUAAUAAUCCUGAUGAAUGUAAGGAACAGAUUAAUUAAAAUACUUAAAACACUGUCUUCUAAAAAUAAAACUUCCCCAUAGUUCAAAACUCUUUAUGUCCUUAAUUAUAUAAAUAAAUGUGAUAUACACUUAUUAUAUGUGACUUUCUAUGGUAGAGCUAGCAAUUUUUUAAGUACCUUGAUUCUCAUGCUUUAUUGUGGUUAUUCUUUUGUUUUUAACCAGAUUAUAACUGCUUAUUGACAAUUGGAAAGCAUUUACUCAUGUGAAUCCCUAAAGGAACCAGCUUUAUUUCAAGUCAAAGCUUUUAUAAAAACAUCUUUGUAAAAUUAUCUCCUUAUCUGUUGUUUAUUUCAUUAUAAUUGAUAUAUUUCAUUAUAUCAUUAUAUCAAUAAACAGUGAGUUUGCCAUUGUAAUCAUCCAUUUAUGUACACAGUCUGCUUUCUGUAUUUGCAGGUUUUACACUCACAAAUUUAACCAC